rnacentral:rRNA from 1 species
UACGUAGGGUGCGAGCGUUGUCCGGAUUUAUUGGGCGUAAAGAGCUCGUAGGCGGUUUGUCGCGUCGAAUGUGAAAACCCGGGGCUCAACCCCGGGCCUGCAUUCGAUACGGGCAGACUAGAGUUCGGUAGGGGAGUCUGGAAUUCCUGGUGUAGCGGUGAAAUGCGCAGAUAUCAGGAGGAACACCGGUGGCGAAGGCGGGACUCUGGGCCGAUACUGACGCUGAGGAGCGAAAGCGUGGGGAGCGAACAGG